rnacentral:lncRNA from 1 species
UAUGACGCCAAAUUUAAAAUUAGACCCAAAGGCGUAAACCAUGACUCCAAAUUUAAAAAUAGAUAUAAAGGCCUACAACCAUGAUGCCAAAUUUUAAACUAGAUCCAGAGAAUAUCAACUGAUUUUAAGAAGCUACUGCAUUUGAGCCUUCUACAUACUAAACAUGAACAAAGCAUAGUAAUACCAUAGAAUUACCGAGGUAAGACAUUACAUAACUUAUGAAGGAAAUAAACAUAAGAAAACACAAACAAACAAGAAUGAUUUCUUCUUCGUCUUCUUCUUUUUGUGUACACAUGAUUCUGUUUUCAGUGUGCCCCUUUAAUUGUUGUGCCAUCGUUAUCAUGGUCUUCCUAUUGGAGGACAGAUCCAAUAAGAUGUAAAUUGGAGCUGGAAGGUCAGAUAAUAAAACAA